GGGAUUGGGAGCUUGCUCCCAUGAGGCUGGCGCACGGGUGAGUAACCCGUAUGCAACCUACCUGUAACUGGGGGAUAGCUCCCUGAAAGGGGAAUAAACACCCCAUAUGACCACUCCAUCUCCUGAUGGAGGGUUAAAAUACUUAUCGGUUUCGGAUGGGCAGGCGUGACAUUAGUUUGUUGGUGAGGUAACGGCUCACCAAGACAACGAUGUCUAGGGGGUCUGAGAGGAAGGUCCCCCACACUGGUACUGAGACUCGGACCAGACUCCUACGGGAGGCAGCAGUGAGGAAUUUUGGUCAAUGGACGCAAGCCUGAUCCAGCCAUGUCGCGUGCAGGACGACGGCCCUAGGGGUUUUAAACUGUUUUUGCACGGAAGAAAACCCGAGGCGCGUGGUCACUUGCCGGUACCGGUACGAGAAGGAUCGGCUAACUCCGUGCCCGCAGCCGCGGUAAUACGGAGGAUUACGAGCGUUA
rnacentral:rRNA from 1 species